GUCAAGAUGGCCGAGUUGGUCUAAGGUCUAAGGCGCCAGUUUCAGGUACUAGUCCGAAAAGGCAUGGGUUCGAAUCCCAUUCUUGACA